GACAAUCUGUCCGAGUGGUUAAGGAGUCAGACUCGAAUCUGAUGGGUUUCGCCCGCACAGGUUCGAAUCCUGUGGUUGUCG
rnacentral:tRNA from 1 species